CUUUGCCUCAUUUUGAUUCUCCUGUGUUCCUACAAAAUGUUUGACUGAGGUGUGGUGCUCGAAGACACGCCCACGCCACGGAGGAGGGGAAGCAGAGCUCAGUGCUGAGGACCGGUGARGGUGGUGUGGUUGACCUGGAUGGCGGUGUCCCCCCUUUUUUUGUGUGCAUGCUUGCGGUGAUCAGCACAGGUGGAGGGAAACUCAAGGAGUGUGGUUUCACGUGUGUUUGUUGUAGUUUCUUUUUGGGAGGCACUCAUCCAGAACAGGUCUGUUGGCACCUACCGGUAAGCCUCAGUAGCUGAGCAUUAGUAGUUUGUUUUUAAUCAGUCUUUCACAUUUUGUGUUUAAUAAAACAACUUUCUGUACUUGAAAA